CUACGGGAGGCUGCAGUAAGGAAUAUUGGGCAAUGGACGCAAGUCUGACCCAGCCAUGCCGCGUGCAGGAUGACUGCCCUAUGGGUUGUAAACUGCUUUUGUUUGGGAAGAAUCUCUCCGACGUGUCGGGGAUUGACGGUACCUUACGAAUAAGCAUCGGCUAACUCCGUGCCAGCAGCCGCGGUAAUACGGAGGAUGCAAGCGUUAUCCGGAUUCAUUGGGUUUAAAGGGUGCGCAGGCGGAAUGGUAAGUCAGUGGUGAAAUCCUCCCGCUCAACGGGAGAACUGCCAUUGAUACUGCUAUUCUUGAGUACACUUGAGGUGGGCGGAAUGUAUCAUGUAGCGGUGAAAUGCUUAGAUAUGAUACAGAACACCAAUAGCGAAGGCAGCUCACCAAAUUGUAACUGACGCUCAGGCACGAAAGCGUGGGGAGCAAACAGGAUUAGAUACCCUAGUAGUC
rnacentral:rRNA from 1 species